UGAUGUCGGAGACUGUGCAGG
rnacentral:misc_RNA from 1 species